UUAGCUAUUCAGCUACCCUUAAGCUUAUUAAUGCUCUCAAAAAUGGCAUCCCCCAAAAGAAUUUCCCUUGUGUUGAAGCUACUUUUCUUUGCUUUGCUUCUCAUUGCCUCUACUGUUUCUGCAACCAAUAACAUUCCUUUGCUCCACAAACCACGUAUUCGUAAAAUGAUUGUGGAGUACAAAAAUGUUGGGAAAGGUUUAGUUGUACCAAAUGUAAAGAAACCAACUUCUGAUGAUGUCCCAUGGGGGGGUGGCUAUAUUCCUCCAAUCUUAACCAACCCAUGAUGUGAGCUUUAUGAUUGUUUGGAUGAUCAGCUGUGUUUUAAUAUAUUGUUGAUGUUGUCUUUUUGGGAGCUUCAAUCUUUAAGCGUUCUUAGACCGACAAUAAACUUAAGCAAAUCUGAUAUAUUUCUAUCUUAUAUAUUUGCUUUGUUUUCUCAAUGAAUUACUCAAGCCCUUCCUUCCAAA